ACAGCAUUUGAGGGAUCACUGACUAUAAGAGGAAAACAAACUACCAAGUCACUGCCUUUUAUGUGUGAACUCCUGUUCUUGAGCAGUUUUUGAUGGUGGAAUGACUUGCUUUUAGAUGAAGAUAGGACUUUGUACAGUUAAGCAAACAAUGGAUGACACAGAGCUAUUAAUGUCAGUGGCGACAAUUGACUCUGAUGCUCCUAUAUGAUUGAAUGCCUGUCUACAAGAAGAGUGCAGUAAUUUUCUCAAACUCAUCAAGAUAAAAAAAAUCAUCUAACUUUACAGACAAAGCCAGAAGUAAAGAAAGUAGGCAUCAUCACUGAAUCUGAACUAAAGUUCAAAUCUCACAUUACCCAUGUUACAAAGGCGGUGUUUUUCCAUUUAUGAAACACAGUGCGAGUUUGACCAUUUAUGUCACUGCAGGAUGCUGAGAAGUUGACAGAUACUUUUGUUUUUAGCUGAUUAGACUAAUGUAAUGCACUUGUAACAGGCAACACACAAUCAUAAUUUUAGAAAUAGAUCUUUAAUAACUGGCAAAGGUUCAAAUCUGUUAAAAGAUUAAUGUUACAAAAAGCUUAUAGCCAAAUAUUUUGAAUAUGUAACAGUUUCAAAUUUUCCUUUUCUUUCU